rnacentral:lncRNA from 1 species
AGAGUUGCCUCUCAAGUGGGUCUGUGCGAAGGAGCCUCUUCGGGCACGGGAGGGUGCCCGCAGCCACCUGUGCGCCGGGAUCCCUCGUUUUCCUAGAGAUUCCAUAUCAUCUAAAGACCAAAUAUGGAUCCUGAAACUGAGAUAAAGAAGCAAUUAAAUCAUUUCUACUGCAAUAAUCUGCACAAUGUGGUGUGCUUCUGCAUUAAACUUGCAGACUCAUUUCCUUGGAUUCAAGCACAAGAUAGGCGAUGAUGAUUUGUUAAAUAAGACUGAAGAAGCUCUGAAAACUCAUGGCACUGUUAAAACUGCAAGUAGCUCAGAGGAGCAAGUGAAUGCACCUGUGAAACUUCUUGGUUAUGUGCAGACUGAGUCAGAGAGGUUUCGGGCAGACCUUGGAAGAACAACUUAAUACAUAAAAAGAUUCAGAACCUGCACUUGUUGCUGACCUUUGAAAUUGUCCGUUCUGUUGAGAGAGGAGAGAGGGGUGUGGGCAGGAGAGAUGUGAACUACGUGGGUAUGUAUUAGAAUGUAUAAAACACAUUUUAUUCUAAAUAGUUAUGACAGAACUUUUCAGCAUCAAAUUUCCUAACUUUUUUUAAUUAACACAGGACUUAAUUGUAUAGCUGAAUACCGAUCAAAAGCCAUUUUCCCUUUUCUAUAUGAAUGUCAGCUGUGCCACUGUAAAACAGGACUGAGUAAAAUGUUUAUGCAUGUUUAUGGCUCCAAGCAUAGACUGGCAUAUCUGGUAAGCUUUUAGAAUAAAGGUGGUGUUCUGAUGUAAUGGUUUAAGUAG